rnacentral:rRNA from 1 species
UACGGAGGGUGCAAGCGUUGUUCGGAAUUACUGGGCGUAAAGCGCACGUAGGCGGGUCUGUGUGUCGAUUGUGAAAGCCCUGGGCUCAACCUGGGAAUUGCAGUCGAAACUGCGGAUCUUGAAUACCUGAGAGGGUGGGGGAAUUCCUGGUGGAGAAGUGAAAUUCGUAGAUAUCAGGAGGAACACCUGAGGCGAAGGCGCCUGCCUGGCAGUGUAUUGACGCUGAGGUGCGAAAGCGUGGGUAGCAAACAGG